ACCUAGAACCUGGGACCUCCCAGCCUGUAGAACUAACUGUGAGAAAUAAGUUUCUGCCACGUGUAAGGUAUUUAGGUUACAGCAGCUCAGAGGGACUGAGACAUGGAGACGGAGAGAAGGAAAGAGUCCUGAGUGUGGUCCAGCUCUGGCUGGGGCAGUUCCCAGGGCAUCAGCAGGUCUGACCUUUCUGCCACUUGCCUGGUCACCUCCUCCUUGAAGUCUGUGAUCUCCCCUACUGCAGCUGAAACACAUUCUCCCUGGGCCUAAACUGGUUCAAGUUGGGUGUUUGUCACGUGCAGUCAAUGUAACAGUAAGAGAAAAAGGUGAUUGGAAAAAGUGAGGUGCAGUCAGCAUUCUUGGUCUCUGCGCUUGAAACACUGGGAGGCACUUUCAAGGCUGCUCGGAGCUCAGAGUCUGGCCAAGUCCUACCUGCCCCUCGAGAUUCUGUUGGAACGUCUCUCCGAGAAGCCCCCUUCUGGCUCCCUGCUUUGUCAACUGUGAACCACACGUUCACUGCAUUGCCCUGCAAUGAUGGGUUCACAGACGAGUCUCGCGAAUCUGUGGAUUCCCCAAGGUUUCUUGGCUGCGAGGCAUAUGGGAUCUUCAAUCCCUGACCAGGGAUUGAACCCGCACCCCCUGCAUUGGGAGGCGAAGUCUUAACCACUGGGCCCCCUGGAAAGUCCCCUAGAACCAUGGUCUUUGUUGUGUCUGUUUCCCAGACACCCAGCACAGCACUGGGUCUGUGGUAAUGACUGUGAAAAUGAAUGAAUGACUGUGAAGACAGCUCCACAAGCCAGAGAGGAUCUUUAUACAGCACGGGGCUGGACCAGAUGAUUCUAUCUCUUGUCUACACUGCGGUUCCAACAUCACAUAACCCUGCCGGGUCAGCGCCCCUCUGCUUUGUCACCCAUGGGCUGUUAACUGUUGCCCAGGCAGCAACAACUCUCACUGCUAAUGCAGUUCCUCUAUUUCAAUAUGCAAAGAAAGCCUCACACCUCUGGGCUUUCUAUAGAUUAUGCAAAAAAAAAAGCCAUUUUAAUAUCUCCUUCCUCUUUGACUCGUGUUUUUUUUAGUUAGGGCUUUCCAUGUUUAUGGACUAACUUUUUUUUUAUUUUCUAAUUAUUAAGAAGCACUCAAGACAUAAAGAGGUAUGAAGAACAACAGAGUGGAUACCCAUGGACACAACCCAGUUGGUACAGCUGAAAAUAAAAUGGGCACAAGGGCCUUCCCUUAAAGAAGGGCUGGAACCAUUUCCAGCCCCUCUAGUUGCAGUCUUGUGUUUCCAAGGAACUGAAAAAUUGAUUUCAAACCUUGCGCCCAGGGCAGAGCCUGGUAUCUCCACAUCCAGACACAAAGUUCUCAUGCCACCCUCUUCUAAGGAGAAGGCAUCUCCCUCCUGCCUUGGGCCUUGGCAGGCUCUGCCACACCCCCUUCGAGGACAGACUUGGAGACUCUCUGAAAGGAAGGAAGAGGGGAAGGAAUUCAGGUUCCCCAUCAGCGUAGGCGUGCCCCCUGAUCAUCCUGACCAUGGGCUCCAUGAGAUUUUGGGUGAGGGGCGCAGGAUGGAAAACACCCAUGGGGGAAGUGCCUUAGGAAAGAAAUGAGCAAAUGAAGCGAACAAAGAUGGGAGGAUUCAGAAACCACCUGGACCUGCUUUCAUUCAUGCCAAGGCCUCUGGAGGGGGAUUCGUCAGGAAUUGCCUGUCAGAAGUCACUUCAGUUAUGCCGUCAUGUCCCUUCUAGGUCAGGACAGCAAGCCAGAGGUUGCGGUUUGAACAUGAAUAGGCAAGAUUCCUACUGAGGGAUUUGAGGGACUCAAGUAAGUGGAUGACUUACUGAAGAAAAUAAACAUUCAUGCUACAGUAAGACAGGAGCUAUCAUAAAGGGGAACAUAUAGGAUGUAAGGGAAGCCUCUGAAUCACACUUGGGCGCUGAGGAAGGCUUCCUGGAGGAGGUGAUGUUUGUCCUGCAGUGUGGCAAGUCACAUGCUAGGCAUGAUGAGUUCAUAAUGCUCGCUGGGAGCUACAAGUGGGCCCACCCUCCCGGAGCGAAAGGUGGGAGUGGGCGGUGGUGGGGGAGGUGGCCAGGGUGAUAUCACAAAGACCUGUGCGCUAAGCCAAGGAGUGGGAACCUUCUGCAAGCUAGCGGCAGCCACCAGAGGACUCAAGGCAGACCUGAGGCAGGGAAGAGUCCUGGAGAGAAGUGGAGAGCCCUGUGGAGCUGCGGGAUGGGGACUGGGAGGCAUAAGAACAAUGAGGAGGGCAUCACAGGACCGAGGUGAGAAGCCACGAGGAUCUGAAGUAAGAAGGUGAGGAGGUCUGCACCCCGUGGACACAGUGAUGGUGCCUCUCAGGGCUUGGGUUUGGCUGACUGCUAGUUGGCAGAGCUACUCACUGACACAAGAAUUCAGGGGAGAAGCAGACCUGGGCUUGGCCUUUGGAUGCUGGGGCAGCAGGUGAGUCACAAAUAUUAUAGAAGGCAUCAGACCCCCAGAGAGGCUACAAGCCUGAAAGCCACUAGAAGCAGACGGAAGGCCAGAGAAGGGUGAAGACUUGAGUGCAGGUAACAGGGCCUCUGAACGCACACCUGCUUUUCUGAGGAGACACCCUGCACAGGCUUCCCUGAGUCUCCAAGGCUGCAGCCUAGUUAUUCAUUUUAGCUCCAACAUUGUAAAGCCCAGGAUGGAACUGACAUCACCCCUGGACACACCUGUGGGCCUCAGUGAAGCAGCUCAAUCUCUAUUUAAUUUGGUUCUAUUUUAAAAUUCUGUAGUUUUUAAAAAUAUAUAUAUACAUGGUUUAAAAAUCAGUUAUGUAUCAAAAAUAUCACUGCUUACCCUGCUUUCCUGGUCCUCUGAGUCAACUAUUUUCAGCCAUUAGCAGAUGAUUUUUUUUGUUUGGUAUUUACCUUCCUAGCUCUAAACAACAUGGGUGUAUAGAUACUUGCUGGUUUUGUCCACAUUAGGCAUUAUCCAUUGACUUUCCAAUACAGUGCACAGGGAUUCAGCUCUGCUCACUCCACCCUCACCUCCACCACAUACGUGUGCCCACUUCCCGUUCCUCCAUCCUCCCAAUACAGUUGUCAUAUUUGGUUAUAUCAAUUUUCAGUCUUUACAUAUUAUGGUUGUGUUCAUGCUGUUCACAACUGAGUCACUUCAAGUAACCAUGAUUUUAUUCCCCUUUCCUCCAUAGCUUUUUAUAUUCCACCAGAGUUCAAAAUUGUGGCACUUAAUUUGUGCUUAUCACUACUCCAAUCCCCCAGUUCUCUCCCAAUUAUGUAAACCAUUCCCAGUAUUUUCAGACACAGUCUUAUCAAUGUCAUCUUUUGGACCAAUCUUUCCUGGAGUCUUUGAUCAGCUUCCAUCAGAACAGGCCGUUUC
ensembl:lncRNA